rnacentral:pre_miRNA from 11 species
UGUGUGUGUGUGUGUGUGUGUGUGUGUAUAUAUAUAUAUACACAUACACACACAGACACACACAUAUACACACACACAUAUACACAUACAUA